GAUGAUGAUGAUGAUGCGGAUGAGAAAAUGCAGUCAUCGGGCAUCCCUGAUGGUGGUCACAUCCGUCAGGAAAGCCAGGAACAGAGUGAGGUGGACCAUGGAGAUUUUGAGAUGGUGUCUGAGUCGAUGGUCCUGGAAACAGCUGAAAAUGUCAACAAUGGCAACCCCUCUCCCCUGGAAGCCCUGCUGGCCGGUGCUGAGGGCUUUCCUCCCAUGCUGGACAUCCCACCUGAUGCAGACGACGAGACCAUGGUUGAACUAGCCAUUGCCCUCAGCCUGCAGCAGGACCAGCAAGGCAGCAGCAGCAGUGCCCUGGGCCUUCAGAGCCUGGGACUGUCGGGCCAGGCACCCAGCUCUUCCUCUCUGGACGCAGGAACCCUCUCUGACACCACAGCAUCAGCUCCAGCCUCAGAUGACGAGGGCAGCACUGCAGCAACUGAUGGCUCCACCCUGCGGACCUCGCCAGCCGACCAUGGCGGUAGUGUGGGCUCAGAGAGCGGGGGAAGUGCAGUGGACUCGGUGGCUGGCGAGCACAGUGUGUCUGGCCGGAGCAGUGCAUAUGGUGACGCCACAGCUGAGGGGCACCCGGCUGGACCAGGGAGCGUCAGCUCUAGCACAGGCGCCAUCAGCACCACUACUGGGCACCAGGAGGGAGAUGGAUCUGAGGGAGAAGGAG
rnacentral:lncRNA from 1 species